GACGAACGCUGGCGGCGUGCUUAACACAUGCAAGUCGAACGGAAAGGCCCUGCUUUUGUGGGGUGCUCGAGUGGCGAACGGGUGAGUAACACGUGAGUAACCUGCCCUUGACUUUGGGAUAACUUCGGGAAACUGGGGCUAAUACCGGAUAGGAGCUCCUGCUGCAUGGUGGGGGUUGGAAAGUUUCGGCGGUUGGGGAUGGACUCGCGGCUUAUCAGCUUGUUGGUGGGGUAGUGGCUUACCAAGGCUUUGACGGGUAGCCGGCCUGAGAGGGUGACCGGCGACAUGGGGACUGAGAUACGGCCCAGACUCCAACGGGAGGCAGCAGUGGGGAAUAUUGCACAAUGGGGGGAAGCCUGAUGCAGAAACGCCGCGUGCGGGAUGACGGCCUUCGGGUUGUAAACCGCUUUCGCCUGUGACGAAGCGUGAGUGACGGUAAUGGGUAAAGAAGCACCGGCUAACUACGUG
rnacentral:rRNA from 1 species